rnacentral:rRNA from 1 species
UAGGGAAUCUUCCGCAAUGGGCGAAAGCCUGACGGAGCAACGCCGCGUGAGUGAUGAAGGUCUUCGGCUCGUAAAACUCUGUUAUUAGGGAAGAACAAAUGUGUAAGUAACUAUGCACGUCUUGACGGUACCUAAUCAGAAAGCCACGGCUAACUACGUGCCAGCAGCCGCGGUAAUACGUAGGUGGCAAGCGUUAUCCGGAAUUAUUGGGCGUAAAGCGCGCGUAGGCGGUUUUUUAAGUCUGAUGUGAAAGCCCACGGCUCAACCGUGGAGGGUCAUUGGAAACUGGAAAACUUGAGUGCAGAAGAGGAAAGUGGAAUUCCAUGUGUAGCGGUGAAAUGCGCAGAGAUAUGGAGGAACACCAGUGGCGAAGGAGACUUUCUGGUCUGUAACUGACGCUGAUGUGCGAAAGCGUGGGGAUCAAACAGG